UUCCGGGAAACUGUUUACGUUUUCAGACAACGCUGAAAAUGAACCUUUUGAAUCAAAUUGCGGUAUUUGAAGUAUCUGAUAUGGACGAGAGUUAGUUUUUUCGAGAAGGCCUACUGACAGCAAUGGAGUGGCGUACAUGGUGUCUAUUGAGGUAAUCAAUGACAAAAUAAAAUUUUGCCAGAGAACAUUGUGAUAGUAAAGCAGCCAUGUUGGUCAAGUGCUGAUGUUUCUGGAGGGGACAUGUGUCAGCCAAUGUCCUUCAGUGUCCAGAGGGAGGUUCAGCUUCGAUUUCUGUGUCCAGCAGAUAUUGAUGAGGUCAAGAAGUUGUGCAGAGAAUGGUUUCCAAUAGAAUAUCCGGAUACUUGGUACCAAGAAAUAACCUCCAACCCCAAGUUUUAUUCAUUGGCUGCAACCUACCAUUCAAGAAUAGUGGGAAUGAUUGUGUCAGAGGUCAAGUUACUAUCUUCCAUCAAUAAAGAGGAUGCUGACAUUCUGGCCAAUCAUCAUCCUCCGACUUCUCAGGUUGCCUACAUACUGAGCCUAGGGGUGGUUGUGGACUUCAGGAAACACGGGAUUGCUUCCUUGCUAUUGGACAGCCUGAUCUCUUACCUAACAUCAAAAGAUCGCUGUAAUUGUAAGGCUGUAUACCUUCAUGUGCUUGCUACAAAUGUAAUUGCUAUCCGGUUCUACGAGAAGCGUCGAUUCCAAGCUCACAGUUUCCUGCCUUAUUACUACUCUAUUCAGGGUAAACCCAGGGAUGGAUAUUUGUAUGUGUUGUACGUCAAUGGAGGAAAACCACCCUGGUCUUUUAUUGAUUACCUGGUCAACUGUGGAGUGAUGGUGUCCAGGCUUCAGCCGUGCGCCUUGCCAAGACAAAUUGUGCGGUCAGUUCGGGGAUGGCUGUGUCGUCUACUUGCAGGAGCCACAUCCAACUACUCUAGUUAGUUGUCAUUCCAACCUGUUUUUAUAUGUGUGUCACAGAGUACAAAUGUUCAUUAGUGUCCCACCAUUAAUUGUAUCAUGUUCUCUUAUGUUACAUGAAAAAUGUAAACUAAUUUAUUCGACAGCCAAAAUUGUUAACCAACAACAGUAUUUCGUUUUUGAUUGCUAGUUUUAUCUCUGGCAACAAAAAUAGGUAUACGGUACAAAAAAGUUUGUAUGUGUGACUGAUUGACAAUAAGUGCAAUAAAUAUGCAGAUAUAGCUUUAUAGUAUGAUGGUAUGAAUAUCAUGUAAUACAGACACAUGUAUGUAACAUCCAGUUUACAAGACCAUUCUAAUUAAAAUUAAAGUAAUUGUAGCUUUAAAUCCAGUAUUUGAUACAAAUUUGUUUUUACAAAGUGUGAAAGUGUUAAAUGUUAAUGUCAGAUCGGGGUAGUAGCUGCUACCGAACGCACUACCUUUCUUAUUGUAGUUUGGUAGCUUUGUUACCAAGGUCUAACGCUGUACAAUUAGUGACAUUUGGUUUGACGACAAGCAAUAUUCCUAUGUUGAUUUUGUUUUAUUUAGACAUGUGCUGUAAUUUCAUCUGAGUUGUGGAUGUCUUCUGAAUAUGGGCACUACCAGAACACUUUGGGACCUGUUUACGAAUAAGUCUUUAUCCACCAUGACUAGCAGACAUUGUCUUUAGACUUCAAACACAAAUGUAGGUAAAUUUUACAUAGGCAUUAUUUUCUGAAAGGAGUUUCUCAUAUGAGGUAAUGGGGAUAUGGAAAUUAAGAAUUCCCCAUACCUACAGAAGAUUAACUCUUUUCAUAUUUUGUGUUCAGAACAUAACGAUAGCUUAGAAAAAUUGUAUAUUAGGGGUGGAUAAUUCAAGAAAUUUUGAUAUCACAGUAUUUUAGAGAACAUUGAAAUAUAUCACAAGAAUAUAGUUUUGUUAGAAAUUCAAUACAUUUAAAGUCAGCUUUUCAUAGACUGAAUGUAAAGUGAACACCACUCUAGCAUGUUUUGAUGAUUAUAUGUGUGAUAUUGGAAGUUAACGAUCAAAGCAAGUUUAAUUUUGGAUACUACAUGUAACACUGUUUCUGUGAAAUUAUUUCAUAACUGCUUAGUAUGAUUUUUUUGCAAUAUAAUGCCAUUUCAAAAACAAAUUACAAUAUAUUAAUGAACAGAUAUUGCGAUAUAUUGGUGAUUAUUAUUGCCAACCCCUAGUUUGUAAAUCUUGUUACAUUGCCAAGUUGGGAGGUAAUAGGUAGAGGUUGGCACAGUUAAUUAUGUUGGGUAAAAUGUACUUACUAUCUUCAUGUCCUAUGUUAAGAUGCAACACAAAGCUAAUUGAUGGGUGAUUUUGUUGGGUGAUGAAGAAUGCAGGGUUUAAAUGUGGUUAUGCUGGUUACGUGUGCUGUUAACUGGUAUAGCAAAGAAAUGUCAGUUUUCUGACCUCAAGUACCCUUUCUUACAUUACACUAGUCCUCCUUCUAAUAAACUGACAAAAAUCUUGUAGAUGCACUAGGAUCAUUUAUGAACAAACAAAGAAAAUUAGUCUUUAUGAUUAUUAAAUGCAUUUGCAACCAUAAUCAAAUACCAUACAUGUAUCGAACAUGACCUUGUUGUAGACCAACCACUGCUGUUGUUGGUAUCUAUGGUAAAAUUGAUAGACCGACAAGUGCUGUUGUUGGUAUCUAUGGUAACAUUGAUAGACCGACAAGUCCUGUUGUUGGUAUCUAUGGUAAGUGUUAAACCAACCACUGCUGUUGUUGGUAUCUAUGGUAACAUUGAUAGACUAACAAGUGGUGUUGUUGGUAUCUAUGGUAACAUUGAUAGACCGACAAGUGCUUCUGUUGGUAUCUAUGGUAACAUUGAUAGACCGACAAGUGGUGUUGUUGGUAUCUAUGGUAAGUGUUAAACCAACCACUGCUGUUGUUAGUAUCUAUGGUAACAUUGAUAGACUGACAAGUGCUGUUGUUUGUAUCUAUGGUAAGUGUUAAACCAACCACUGCUGUUGUUGGUAUUAAUGGUAACAUUGAUAGACUGACAAGUGCUGUUGUUGGUAAUUAAGGUAAUGGUGGUUGACCAACCACUGCUGUUGUUAGUAAUUAAGGUAAUGGUGGUUAACCAACCACUGAUGUUGUUGGUAUCUUUGGUAACAGUGUAAGACCAACCACUGCUGUUUUUGAUAACUAAGGUAACAGUGGUAGACCAACCAUUGCUGUUGUUGGUAUCUAAGGUAACAGUGUUAAACCAACCUCUGCUGUUUUUGGUAUCUAAGGUAAUAGUUGUAGACCAACCACUUCUGUUGUUGGUAUCUAAGCAAGUGUUAAACCAGACCAACCACUGCCGUUGUUGGUAUCUAUGGUAACAGUGUUAGACCAUCCACUGCCGUUGUUGGUAUCUUAGGUAAUGAUGGUAGAUCAACCACUGCAGUUGUUGGUAUCUAUGGUAACAGUGUUAGACGAACCACUGUAACAGUUUUAGAUGAACCACUGCCGUUGUUGGUAUCCACGGUAAUGAUGGUAGAUCAACCACUGCAGUUGUUGGUAUAUAAGGUAACAGUGUUAGACGAACCACUGCCGUUAUUGGUAUCUAUGGUAACAGUUUUAGACCAACCACUGCUGUUGUUGGGACCUAAGGUAA
rnacentral:misc_RNA from 1 species